UACGAAGGGGGGCUAGCGUUGUUCGGAAUUACUGGGCGUAAAGCGCGCGCAGGCGGUCCUUUUAAGUCAGGGGUGAAAGCCCAGAGCUCAACUCUGGAACUGCCUUUGAAACUAGAGGACUUGGGUACGGGAGAGGUGAGUGGAAUUCCGAGUGUAGAGGUGAAAUUCGUAGAUAUUCGGAAGAACACCAGUGGCGAAGGCGGCUCACUGGCCCGUUACCGACGCUCAGGCGCGACAGCGUGGGGAGCAAACAGG
rnacentral:rRNA from 1 species